rnacentral:lncRNA from 1 species
ACUUUUAGAUUGCGCAGGCAAGGGACCGAGGCAUAAGGGAAGCAAUAAGAGAAAACAUAAAGACCUACCGGCCUGUGAGAAUCUGGGAAGGUGGCCCUAGGGGCCUACAGUGAGAGGUCGAACCGCCUCCCUUCAAAUUCCAACAAGGAUGCAAAUUCCAUGCAUAAGGAUUAGACUGUCUUUGUGGUUCGAAUCUGAACCAUCCCGAACACAAGUCAUGAUUUGAAUACUUGGUCCCCAGCUUGUGGUGUGAAUUUGGGGGGUGGAAAAGCCUUGAGAGAUGCCACCUAGAGAAAAUGGGCCACUAGGAGUUUAGGCCUUUGGAGGUUAUAGCCCUCGCUGAAGUUUCCACCAUAGUCGGCGCUUCCUGAUCCACGACGGUGCAAACAACCUUCACCACACACUCCCGCCUGGGCGGACCAUCUCCUAAAGGCUCAGCUUUUUGGUAAUAACGCCUUGGUGAUUAGCUUUCGAUGUGUGCAUUCCUGAGGGAAUGAAACAGAUCUGGAAAGGAGUGCUCCUGCCCAGGGAACUGCCGCUCCUGGUUGCCAUGGAAAUAGCCGCCAACGACACUUCCGGAAAUCAGUGCUAAGAUUGGAAACGGUCCCUCUUAAUUGCGGUGGCAACUUAGUAACAGACUCUUAGUACUUCCCCUCUCCCCACCCCUUUCCUUCUUCCAGUGUAGGGGUGAGCUCUCUAGAGCCUGAGGAAGAAGUCACUGGAUUGUACCACACGGGGUUGGGGGGGAGGAGAAUCUAUCCACAUACCUCAGGCUUCACACGCAUGACCUUUUCUUCCCUUCUUCAAAGGACACUAACCCUAUGAUAAAGCCCUUAUCCUGCGUGCCACUUCUCAAAGGCUCCAUCCCUGAACACCCCCACACCAGGCCUAUGAAUAUAGAAGGUACAGAAAUAAUUUAGUUCAUGGCAUUUAGAAAAGACUUUUCAGUCAGGUUCAUCAUCGUAAGCUAAGAUAUUAUUAGUCUGAUUUUGGGAGUGGGGGU